AUGGGGAGCGAACAGGAUUAGAUCCCCUGGUAGUCCAUGCCGUAAACGGUGGGCGCUAGGUGUGAGUCCCUUCCACGGGGUUCGUGCCGUAGCUAACGCAUUAAGCGCCCCGCCUGGGGAGUACGGCCGCAAGGCUAAAACUCAAAGGAAUUGACGGGGCCCCGCACAAGCGGCGGAGCAUGCGGAUUAAUUCGAUGCAACGCGUAGAACCUUACCUGGGUUUGACAUGGAUCGGGAGUGCUCAGAGAUGGGUGUGCCUCUUUUGGGGUCGGUUCACAGGUGGUGCAUGGCUGUCGUCAGCUCGUGUCGUGAGAUGUUGGGUUAAGUCCCGCAACGAGCGCAACCCUUGUUCACUGUUGCCAGCACGUUAUGGUGGGGACUCAGUGGAGACCGCCGGGGUCAACUCGGAGGAAGGUGGGGAUGACGUCAAGUCAUCAUGCCCCUUAUGACCUGGGCUACACACGUGCUACAAUGGCUGGUACAACGAGUCGCAAGCCGGUGACGGCAAGCUAAUCUCUUAAAGCCAGUCUCAGUUCGGAUUGUAGGCUGCAACUCGCCUACAUGAAGUCGGAAUCGCUAGUAAUCGCGGAUCAGCACGCCGCGGUGAAUACGUUCCCGGGCCUUGUACACACCGCCCGUCACACCACGAGAGUUUGUAACACCCGAAGUCGGUGAGGUAACCGUAAGGAGCCAGCCGCCUAAGGUGGGAUAGAUGAUUGGGG
rnacentral:rRNA from 1 species